UGUAUUAUGCAGUUGUGUGCAUCGCGGAAAGGGAGAAAAAGGGUGAUAAAAAAGGUACUUUCCCGUGGUAGGUGAAAGGGAGAGGAGGGAACCAGCCUGCUAGAUCCCGCUGUUCUCUGCUCAGCACCCCUUUUUCCAGCUUCCUUUGACGCGGUGGUUUAUUGCAGUGAACAAUCAAAGCAGGCGCAGAAGUUCCCCUAGUUCCUCCUCUUCACGGAGGAUCAUUUAGCCGUCAGUGUAGCUUCAGCAAAUCAUUUCUCAAUUCUUUUGGCCCUGUGCCCGUGUGCCGCGGCAUCGGUCGAUACCACCAGCCACUAUUGCAACCAGUUGUCGAUGCUCAUCCAACUCACUUCCGCUUCCAAUCUCAAAAACGCGCUGGAAAAAGCCAAGAGAGCUCUCUCUCUCUCUGUGAAGGGAUUAAAGGUCUCACACAUGGGGAAUUGCCCGUAAGAGUUCGUCCCUGGAGGAGUGUGAACUGCACGCGGGUAAAGAACGUCACAAAGAAAUGGGGUAGAACACUUGAGAAGGAACCAGCAAAUGCAACCCUCCGUUUUGCUAAGACCUUCCUCCUCCUUGGGCAAUAGAAGGAAUCCGGAUUCACGAAGUUCACACUUGGCCCAUCCUUUUUGUAAAGCGAAACUGGCGCUCCAGGCUAGCGAGAGUAGAAGGGGAGGAUCCUCGUUGUGCCGAUCCUUGCGCGACGGACGGGACCAACCGUCGCAGGGUACUUGAUCGUCCCCUGUGAGCGGUGAAACUGGGGGGCAAGUAUAUUAGUUACACGAUAAUUGGCAUUCAAUUGUCCAGACUGUGCAAGGGAUUUAACAUUCACACAUACAGAAAGGGCCCGGGCCUGAGGGAUUGAUGAAACCCCCUUGUAACUGGUACCAAUGCCGUACUGGCAUGAUCCAUUUCUGUUAACCAUUCUACUUUUUUUGUAUGCAGACCAACAUCGCUUGACUGUUUGAGGUUAGGAAACCCUAUCGGCUCUCUCCUCGUGACCGUUUGGACGCAAUUAUCUACACAUUCAAUGUCAAUCAUACGUAACGAAUCACGGCGGGGCAGCAUCAUGCACUUCUCGAGAGCUUUCCGGUCGGUUGGUCGGUCGUUUCGGUCGGUCGGGGGUUUUUAGCACACACACACACAGCAGCAGCAGCACAAUGUAAUAAGGUCACCAAGAAAAAAGGGACGAAAAGCCGAGAGAGUGUGCGUGAUUUGCCGGCAAAUGGCGGCGGCCAGAGCACCGUGCAAUGGCGACAAAUUCACGGCCAUUUCCGGUAACUCUGGGCGAGGUGAAGAAGGGGUUUUGUUAUUUGCAUAUCCUGAACCCGGGAGGGAGAUUGGUGCAUAAAAUGGUUGACCGUUGGGAGAUGGUUAUGAGGUCGUCUUCAUACCGAUAACGAUAUGAUGACAAAGUGCCAUUCAUUAAUUCGAAUUUUAUAUCUUCUAAACAAACGGUUACAGCACACCACUCAGCUUUAAACUGUUUUAGACAUUCAGGCACGCAGGGUACAGGGUACACAGUAAAUAAAUCAGAGAAAAUUAUUCUUGAACAAGCGUUUCCCUCUAUUGUGUGCGCUGUGAUAUCUUUGUCGGCGCUUUCUAUGGAAAUGAUGCACUUACAGUGCAGAGUUUGGACAACUAUAUGCAGCACAACCGUAGAUUAGCAUAAGUGGCACAAAAAGGCCGCACAAUACUGUGUGUGUGUACUUGGUUCCCUUUUAGUGGUACUAUUUUCUCUCUUAUUUUUGCAAAAUAGAGCAAAAAAACUGAAUGCGAACGGGCCAAAUCGUUCGCUGCACCUGCCUGCAGCAGCAGCAGCAGUAAGCAGUCGACUAGACUAGAAAGUGUUGAAUAUAUUAGCUUUGCUAGCUGUUUUCAUCCCAAACAAAAUGAACCGAAAAAAAACCCUGGAGCUUACAGUAGAGUACACCAACAAUAUGCAGCUCAUCAUCCCGUUCCCGUAGCCCAAUUUUCCUCUUCCUCUCAGUGGAGUCGGCGUAACCAACCCCAAAGUUCCCCCCGGCAUUAAGCCUCGUUUUUUCAAAAAACGGCAACUAAUCUGUUCCGAUUACUAGUAGCAUUAUCACGAUCAUGAUCAUGAUGGUUGAAGGUGGAUGGUUUUGUGCGUUCUAUUUAAUUUCAGAGCAAACCGCACACUCAAACUGACCCCAAACUGCCGUCGGCAUUAUGGGUGUAUUUUCAUCUUUGUGGGAAAACUGGAACAGGGAGCGCGCCCUUUAGCUGAGUUUGCGCUAAUUACUUGUUCGAAGUGCACGGCUUGUUAUCAAAAACCAAAGACAAAGAAGUGCUCCAAAACUAAGAGAAAUUGGACCA